AUGGGCGAAAGCCUGAUGCAGCCAUGCCGCGUGUGUGAAGAAGGCCUUCGGGUUGUAAAGCACUUUCAGCGAGGAGGAAAGGUUAGUGGUUAAUACCCGCUAGCUGUGACGUUACUCGCAGAAGAAGCACCGGCUAACUCCGUGCCAGCAGCCGCGGUAAUACGGAGGGUGCGAGCGUUAAUCGGAAUUACUGGGCGUAAAGCGCAUGCAGGCGGCCAAGUCAGUCAGAUGUGAAAGCCCCGGGCUUAACCUGGGAAUUGCAUUUGAUACUGCUUGGCUAGAGUCCUUGAGAGGGGGGUAGAAUUUCAGGUGUAGCGGUGAAAUGCGUAGAGAUCUGAAGGAAUACCAGUGGCGAAGGCGGCCCCCUGGCAAGAGACUGACGCUCAGAUGCGAAAGCGUGGGGAGCAAACAGGAUUAGAUACCCUGGUAGUCCACGCCGUAAACGAUGUCUAUUAGGAGUCUGUGCCCUUGAGCCGUGGGUUCCAAAGCUAACGCAUUAAAUAGACCGCCUGGGGAGUACGGCCG
rnacentral:rRNA from 2 species